rnacentral:rRNA from 1 species
UACGGGGGGGGGCAAGCGUUGUUCGGAAUUACUGGGCGUAAAGGGCUCGUAGGUGGCCAACUAAGUCAGACGUGAAAUCCCUCAGCUUAACUGGGGAACUGCGUCUGAUACUGGAUGGCUUGAGUUUGGGAGAGGGAUGCGGAAUUCCUGGUGUAGCGGUGAAAUGCGCAGAUAUCAGGAGGAACACCGGUGGCGAAGGCGGUUCUCUGGGCAUGUCCUGACGCUGAGGAGCGAAAGUGUGGGGAGCGAACAGG